UUCCGCUUUAGCCAGAUGUCGGCAUACAAAUUUCAGUUUUUAGUAGAUGUCUCCAAGACCUGCCUAAAAUAAGCAUUAGUGAUGUCCAUCGAAUUGUUGAUGCCUGGUCCCCUGCUCCAACAAGCAAGCAGAACAAGGGAUUCAAACUCUACGUAUCAAGUUAUCUGCACAACUACGAGGACCACAUGACCUUCUCCCAUUCCUCCUCUGGAUCAUCCAGAUGGUCAUUGGCAAACUUCAGACAUGCCUGGACAUGCAGUGGCUUGAACAGGGGGAUUUAACAGUUUUUUCUGAUGGCUGUAGAUGUAGUGAUUGUAUGAGUUAGUGAACUGUUAUAAGCUGUUGUAACCAAUGAAUCAAAAUAUUAAAUGUUUGUAAUAUGAGCUGAAACUGAAGGAGCAAGUAGGAGAAUAGGAAACCCUGUUUAAGCAGUUGCCGGCGAGAGAAAGAUUUAGUAUGUCUGUCUUUUAAGAAACAGGACACAGGUUAGAGACACACACACAUAGUCUGACAGGCCAGACAGAAACCAGGAGGGGACAAGAAGAUGUUUGCGUUUAUCCUUAUAAGGAAUAGAACUGGAACUGGACCAAUAGCACACUUGUUUUGUGAAUUUAACGACUCUAUCUUUUGGGCGUAGUAGAAGUAUAAAAUGAUCUGUUGAAUGUUGAUCCUUAGACAUUGUGCGGCGACACUUGUCUCCAAAAGCUUUUGUAAUAAACGGAAUAUGCGGUAUGAUAAUUGACCUGACUCCUGG
ensembl:lncRNA